CGCGACNCCAGGUCAGGCGGGG
rnacentral:rRNA from 1 species